GAUGAACGCUGGCGGCGUGCCUAAUACAUGCAAGUCGAGCGAACGGACGAGAAGCUUGCUUCUCUGAUGUUAGCGGCGGACGGGUGAGUAACACGUGGAUAACCUACCCAUAAGACUGGGAUAACUUCGGGAAACCGUAGCUAAUACCGGAUAAUAUUUUGAACCGCAUGGUUCAAAAGUGAAAGACGGUCUUGCUGUCACUUAUAGAUGGAUCCGCGCUGCAUUAGCUAGUUGGUAAGGUAACGGCUUACCAAGGCAACGAUGCAUAGCCGACCUGAGAGGGUGAUCGGCCACACUGGAACUGAGACACGGUCCAGACUCCUACGGGAGGCAGCAGUAGGGAAUCUUCCGCAAUGGGCGAAAGCCUGACGGAGCAACGCCGCGUGAGUGAUGAAGGUCUUCGGAUCGAAAAACUCUGUUAUUAGGGAAGAACAUAUGUGUAAGUAACUGUGCACAUCUUGACGGUACCUAAUCAGAAAGCCACGGCUAACUACGUG
rnacentral:rRNA from 1 species